GACGAACGCUGGCGGCGUGCUUAACACAUGCAAGUCGAACGAUGAACCCGGAGCUUGCUCCGGCGGAUUAGUGGCGAACGGGUGAGUAACACGUGAGUAACCUGCCCUUGACUCUGGGAUAACUGCUAGAAAUGGUAGCUAAUACCGGAUACGACCCUCGGUGGCAUCACCAGGGGGUGGAAAGAAUUUCGGUCAAGGAUGGACUCGCGGCCUAGCAGUUAGUUGGUGAGGUAACGGCACACCAAGGCGACGGCGGGUAGCCGGCCUGAGAGGGUGACCGGCCACACUGGGACUGAGACACGGCCCAGACUCCUACGGGAGGCAGCAGUGGGGAAUAUUGCACAAUGGGCGCAAGCCUGAUGCAGCAACGCCGCGUGAGGGAUGACGGCCUUCGGGUUGUAAACCUCUUUUAGUAGGGAAGAAGCGAAAGUGACGGUACCUGCAGAAAAAGCACCGGCUAACUACGUGCCAGCCGCCGCCGUAA
rnacentral:rRNA from 1 species